AGCGAACGCUGGCGGCAGGCCUAACACAUGCAAGUCGAACGGAUCCUUCGGGAUUAGUGGCGGGCGGGUGAGUAACACGUGGGAACGUGCCCUUUGGUUCGGAACAACUCAGGGAAACUUGAGCUAAUACCGGAUGUGCCCUUCGGGGGAAAGAUUUAUCGCCAUUGGAGCGGCCCGCGUCUGAUUAGCUAGUUGGUGAGGUAACGGCCCACCAAGGCGACGAUCAGUAGCUGGUCUGAGAGGAUGAUCAGCCACACUGGGACUGAGACACGGCCCAGACUCCUACGGGAAGCAGCAGUGGGGAAUCUUGCGCAAUGGGCGAAAGCCUGACGCAGCCAUGCCGCGUGAAUGAUGAAGGUCUUAGGAUUGUAAAAUUCUUUCAGCGGGGACGAUAAUGACGGUACCCGCAGAAGAAGCUCCGGCUAACUUCGUG
rnacentral:rRNA from 1 species